rnacentral:rRNA from 1 species
AGUGAACGCUGGCGGUAGGCCUAACACAUGCAAGUCGAACGGCAGCACAGUAAGAGCUUGCUCUUACGGGUGGCGAGUGGCGGACGGGUGAGGAAUACAUCGGAAUCUACUUUUUCGUGGGGGAUAACGUAGGGAAACUUACGCUAAUACCGCAUACGACCUACGGGUGGAAGCAGGGGAUCUUCGGACCUUGCGCGAUUGAAUGAGCCGAUGUCGGAUUAGCUAGUUGGCGGGGUAAAGGCCCACCAAGGCGACGAUCCGUAGCUGGUCUGAGAGGAUGAUCAGCCACACUGGAACUGAGACACGGUCCAGACUCCUACGGGAGGCAGCAAUGGGGAAUAUUGGACAAUGGGCGCAAGCCUGAUCCAGCCAUACCGCGUGGGUGAAGAAGGCCUUCGGGUUGUAAAGCCCUUUUGUUGGGAAAGAAAAGCAGCAGGUUAAUACCCCGCUGUUCUGACGGUACCCAAAGAAUAAGCACCGGCUAACUUCGUG